CUCAUAAAGUCCCAAGCUCAUAAAGUCUGAGUAUGAAAUUCAGAGACUAGAGUGUCUGAAACAAUACCACACAGAGAAAGAGACAUUCUUUUUCACACUUGGAAAAAACAGCUUUGCAUGAUGGAGUGAGAAUCCUCCCAAGAUGCUUGUCUAGGCGAGAACGUGCAGGCGCCCAUCACACACACAAUGACACACAUACACACACACUCAGACACCCCUCAGGGACAUUACAGGAUCGUGGACUACACCAGUCAGGCAUCAAGAGCAGAACAGGUACAGUGAAUGACCCACAGGGUGUCCCUGGGGAAAUCAGCUCAGAGGCUGUCCUGAGGGUUGAAAUGGGACUAGGGGUGACAGCAGGUGUCUCAGAGGCAUAAGGGGUCUUCAGGGAGGAGGGAGGACAUCAGGGAGCUGGAUAGUGAUGUCAAGGGAGGAAGG
rnacentral:lncRNA from 1 species